UGGGGAAUAUUGGACAAUGGGCGAAAGCCUGAUCCAGCCAUGCCGCGUGUGUGAAGAAGGUCUUCGGAUUGUAAAGCACUUUAAGUUGGGAGGAAGGGCAGUAAGUUAAUACCUUGCUGUUUUGACGUUACCGACAGAAUAAGCACCGGCUAACUCUGUGCCAGCAGCCGCGGUAAUACAGAGGGUGCAAGCGUUAAUCGGAAUUACUGGGCGUAAAGCGCGCGUAGGUGGUUUGUUAAGUUGGAUGUGAAAGCCCCGGGCUCAACCUGGGAACUGCAUCCAAAACUGGCAAGCUAGAGUACGGUAGAGGGUGGUGGAAUUUCCUGUGUAGCGGUGAAAUGCGUAGAUAUAGGAAGGAACACCAGUGGCGAAGGCGACCACCUGGACUGAUACUGACACUGAGGUGCGAAAGCGUGGGGAUCAAACAGGAUUAGAUACCCCGGUAGUCCCUGAGCGGGCUGGCAAGGCGCAU
rnacentral:rRNA from 1 species